rnacentral:rRNA from 1 species
UACGGGGGGGGCAAGCGUUGUUCGGAUUUACUGGGCGUAAAGGGCGCGUAGGCGGCCACCGCAAGUCAAUUGUGAAAUCUCCGGGCUUAACUCGGAAAGGUCAACUGAUACUGCGGGGCUAGAGUGCGGAAGGGGCAACUGGAAUUCUCGGUGUAGCGGUGAAAUGCGUAGAUAUCGAGAGGAACACCUGCGGCGAAGGCGGCCUUCUGGACAGCAACUGACGCUGAGACGCGAAAGCGUGGGGAGCAAACAGG